AUUGAACGCUGGCGGCAGGCCUAACACAUGCAAGUCGAGCGAGCGGCGGACGGGUGAGUAAUGUAUGGGGACUGCCCGAUAGAGGGGGAUAACUACUGGAAACGGUAGCUAAUCCCGCAUACUAUCGGAUAACCCAUAUGGGAUUAGCUAGUAGGUGAGGUAAUGGCUCACCUAGGCGACGAUCCCUAGCUGGUCUGAGAGGAUGAUCAGCCACACUGGGACUGAGACACGGCCCAGACUCCUACGGAGGAAGCAGUGGGGAAUAUUGCGAGAUGGGCGCAAGCCUGAUGCAGCCAUACCGCGUGUAUGAAGAAGGCCCUAGGGUUGUAAAGUACUUUCAGUCGGGAGGCGUUACCUGCAGAAGAAGCACCGGCUAACUCCGUGCCAGCAGCCGCGGUAAUAC
rnacentral:rRNA from 1 species